GUACAGCGGCGCAAGGAACAGUGUAGUUUACCGUUCACGUCGACCAGUUCGCAGACGCGUUUAUCGUAAUUCGAGUGGGCGAUCGUUUUUCGCCCGAUUCGCGACACACAAGCAAGUACGCCUCGACCCCCAGCGAACACAUUAUUAUCGUGUCGAACACUAUAGCUUGGCGGUUUUCCGACAGAUCGUGUACGAGUAUGUGUCUGGGACCUGGGUACGACACGCGCGGAAUGAUAAUAUUGCAGAAAGUGCUAUAUGCGGUAGCAAACCACGGCGACAAAACGGAACGUUUUCUGGAAAUAUUGACAUCGACGUUUGUGUAAACAUAUUUUAGCUGCAGGAUAAAAAUAGUACACGCCAAUCCAAAAUCGUUAAUUACUAAUUGAAAGUCGCAUUCUGUCAGGCCCUGAUGCUGCAGACGACGCGGAGAUCAAUACCAAUUAUAUGGACGUAUUAAGCAGUAUCCGCCACUUAUUCGGCCUGCGAUGGGAUACUGGAAUAUCAGCUGCUCUCAUCACGACAUAUACAUAUAACUUGCUAUUGUGCUGCAUCGGAGAAUUCAAUAAAAUCUAAUCCGUUAUCGGGUAAACGGCAUACGGAGUUUACUGAGACUGUACGCAAAAA